rnacentral:tRNA from 1 species
AUUAGAUUAGCCUUUGGGUAUUGGAUUUUGUAAGUCUUAGUAUGCUAUUUAGCC